AGUGAACGCUGGCGGUAGGCCUAACACAUGCAAGUCGAACGGCAGCACAGUAAGAGCUUGCUCUUACGGGUGGCGAGUGGCGGACGGGUGAGGAAUACAUCGGAAUCUACUUUUUCGUGGGGGAUAACGUAGGGAAACUUACGCUAAUACCGCAUACGACCUACGGGUGAAAGCAGGGGAUCUUCGGACCUUGCGCGAUUGAAUGAGCCGAUGUCGGAUUAGCUAGUUGGCGGGGUAAAGGCCCACCAAGGCGACGAUCCGUAGCUGGUCUGAGAGGAUGAGCAGCCACACUGGAACUGAGACACGGUCCCGACUCCUACGGGAGGCAGCAGUGGGGAAUAUUGGACAAUGGGCGCAAGCCUGAUCCAGCCAUACCGCGUGGGUGAAGAGGGCCUUCUGGUUGUAAAGCCCUUUUGUUGGGAAAGAAAAGCAGCAGGUUAAUACCCCGCUGUUCUGACGGUACCCAAAGAAUAAGCACCGGCUAACUUCGUG
rnacentral:rRNA from 1 species